AAUCAACGCUGGCGGCGUGCCUCAGACAUGCAAGUCGAACGCGAAAGUUUCCUUCGGGAAACAAGUAGAGUGGCGCACGGGUGAGUAACACGUAGGUAAUCUACCUUUGGAUGGGGAAUAACAAUCGGAAACGGUUGCUAAUACCGCAUAAUGCAGCGGCACCUAAUGGUGACAGUUGUUAAAGCGGGGGAUCGAAAGACCUCGCGUCUGAAGAGGAGCCUGCGGCGGAUUAGCUAGUUGGUAAGGUAAUGGCUUACCAAGGCUACGAUCCGUAACCGGCCUGAGAGGGCGGUCGGUCACACUGACACUGACAUACGGGUCAGACUCCUACGGGAGGCAGCAAUCGGGAAUUUUGGGCAAUGGGCGAAAGCCUGACCCAGCAACGCCGCGUGAAGGAUGAAAUCCCU
rnacentral:rRNA from 1 species